rnacentral:lncRNA from 1 species
UCCUAUGCUGAGGGACCUAUAAAUUUGAAGAUUAUCAUCUAGAUAACUUUCGUACAGUUAUAUUAUCAAACUACGAUAAACACGAAAAAAGUUUCAGAAGUAUCCAUAAAUUUGUUGGUUGGCUUGUUACAAUCACGCGAAUGGAACUCUAUCAUUCUGAUAUAAUCAACGAUCGUUAGAUUCCAUGGAAGAAGGAAAGCAAUUGGUUCCCUUGCAUUGACAAACAGGACAAUUUGAAAUUCUAUCAAAAGGUUAAUCGAAUCCGGACACUCUUUAGUUUCAAUUGUAGUCAUGCAUCGAGGCAAGUCUAAUUUAUCGAUCGCAAAUCGAUAGGCGUGAUUUGUACCUCAAAUUCAUUUGCAUCUUCGCCUGGCCAGUAUUCGAGAUUCUGAACCUCGUUUCCGGCCCCUAUUGUACACCACCUGUGUUUUGCAGAAGCAAAUGAACCCUACGCAUAUCAAUGUCGAGCAUCAUUCACGUGUUAGAAAUGAGUUCUCGUGACGCAAAAAGCAUGUAUAAUUAUUCGGUAACGUGGAGCCGACCGGCGUCAGAGAUUUUGCCUGCCGUUUAAGCCGUUCGAAUUACAGUCCUUGAUAUAGCGUUCCAAAGAAAAACUGGAACAGAAAAUCGUUGUCCGACAAGUGUGUGCUAUAUUCCUUUUUAUAUUAUGAUAAAAAAAAGAAUCACUUCUAUUCAUAUAGGAGAAAAAAAGAAAUUGAUAUUAACCUACAUAUACUUUACGAAAGACGAAAUAUUAAUUAUACCGUUAUACAAGUAUGAAAAUUUAUUAAAGUAAAUAAGGAAAUCGAUAAUGGAAAUCCGAUAAUUCUUUUCUAUUUUGUUUGAAUAAAGCUUCCUCUUUUCUCUUCGAAAGGAAUUCAGCGAUUGCUUGAGUCAAUAAGGUCGCUGUCGAGAUGCUCAAAGGCGCACUCCUUAAACAUUUAAAUGACCCAGCCUGUCUAAGCUCACGACGAAAUCGUAAAAUCGAGAUUCGUAUUCGCCGCACGUUGCCUCUCGAUACUAUUCGUAAAGGCUGAAGCACGCUCGAUCGUCCUAAAACUAAAAGGCACGAGGGUUUUUAGGGCAAUGCAUUCCGAUCGUCGUACCAACGUCGAUCAAUCGCAGUCGCGGAAUCGUUUUAGCAAAAUAGCCGUCGGAUAUAUUGAUACGAAUACUCGAUACAGGCACAGACUGAAAAGAAGCUUCUCGUUGGCGAAUUACGACUGAUACCUGAAGGCGUAUACACAGUCGAUCGAUACGUUUCUAUCACUGUUCGUGAAAAAUGUAACGAAUUCUGGAUCAUAUUUUCUCUUUGGAAACAACAGCCUACCAUGUCGAGCGUUUCUUAAUGUACGAAAAGAAAUUGCGUCUCCAUAAGACUAUCUGGCUCUUGGCAGAAGAUUCUUCCAAGAAAAAAAGGGAAAUGAUAAGGAUGGACUUUUACGAAGUACAAAUCCAAUUGCCUGAUGUAUUAUAAGCACCUCUCAAUAUCGCUACUAGGCUUUCGUGACAAUUUUCAGGCAAAUCACGAGAAUCAGUCGUGUAUACGAUUAAAGUUAAAUCGACCGAUAUUUGGAUAGGACGUAGAUGUGUGCGUAGAUAUUUUCUUCGCCAGAGAUUGCCAAAUAAAAGGUGAUAAGUUUAAAGCAAACGACCAAGAACGAUUGAGGUGGGUGUAGGAAAAGGAUUGCGGUACAAAGAUAAGGCUAGAGAUACGUCCGACUGAUAACGAGCAACCGGGGAAAAAAUUCUCACAAGGAAAGUGCAAGUCCUUCGGGUUACCGAUUUAGUUGAAACUUUGCAGUUUUCAAGUGAAGUUGUGGCCUAAAAGCAAUAUACGAAAAUUCCUAUGCUGGAAGUCCAGGUUUCGAUUCCUGUCCAUAGUUGAUAGUAUUUUUUCAAUCCAUUUUUUAUUUUGUAUUCAUU